rnacentral:sRNA from 1 species
CCUUGAGGAGCCUGAGGUGUGAAUAAACAUGUGAAUCCUUAUUCCUGAUGCCCCUAUCUCAAGAGGAAGGCUCAAUGGCUUGUUCUAGGGGAGCCAAAGUCUUUGUGUAUGUUGUUCAGGCUGGACCAGCAAGGUAGUUUGUUUGGAGGGAGGAGGGAGCUGUUUAAGAAGACUACAUAUGUAAGUUUUGAGAACACUGAUCUUUUAUUUGAAAAAUAGGGUCAACUUUUACUCACCUGCCAUGUUCUGAGUUUAAGGUUUGAUAUCCUUGGCCAUCAACUGUUGCAGGGAAACCACCCUAAAUAAUGAAGAAAAGAAGUCGUCUCAGUGUAAAAAAAAAAAGUGGUGGGCUUAUUUUCUUUUCUUUUGUCUGUUGUUCCCUCUUCCCCUCCCCCAGAGAGAAAUUCUCAAAAGAACAACUCAAAAAACAAAAUGGCUUCCUAGUGAGAACUUCAGUGAUGAUCCUUUCCUCCAUUUGGGGUAUGGGCUUUUUUUCUUUUUACACUGAGAUUAUUCUUCUUUCCUGCAUUAUUUAGGGUGUCUGAUGCCAUCAAGUGUUGCAGGAGAAACUUCAGUCUUGGCUGUUCCUUCUUGGAGGGACCACUCAGUAGAGCCUCUAAGGGACCCAAAUCCUUCAGACCUUUUGGAGAACCUGGACGACAGUGUGUUUUCGAAGCGGCAUGCAAAACUGGAGCUGGAUGAGAAGAGAAGGAAAAGAUGGGAUAUUCAGAGGAUCAGGGAACAAAGAAUUUUACAGCGACUGCAGCUCAGAAUGUAUAAAAAGAAAGGAAUUCAGGAAUCUGAGCCUGAGGUUACCUCAUUUUUCCCUGAGCCAGAUGAUGUUGAAAGUUUGAUGAUUACCCCCUUCUUGCCUGUUGUAGCAUUUGGACGACCAUUACCAAAAUUAACUCCACAGAAUUUUGAGCUACCCUGGUUGGAUGAGCGUAGCCGAUGCAGAUUGGAGAUCCAGAAGAAGCAAACACCUCACCGGACGUGUAGGAAAUAGCUGUGCUGGCAAGAACCCUGUCUUCAGAUAGUUGUAGCAUGCCAUUCCCGAGAGUGGCAGAGACCUGUAUAUGUGACCUUUGUCCUCACAUAUGUUAUCACUCGCUGAUAAUACCCUUUCAUACUCCCUUGACUUUGUUUUCAUCACUCUGAUUUCACAAAAACUCUUUCAUUCGGCUAAUUGUGAGUUAUGGAGGGUGAUUGGGAUUUCUUUUCCCUUUUUUGGGAAAUGAGCUCUCAAGCUAAAGCUAUAGGAUGGCAGAUUCAGAAGUUUCAGGGGUCUGUUUCUAUACAUUUGCCUAUGUUAAAGGGGUAAAAGGGCUCUCUUCAUUAGACAUGUGGAAGAUGAAGCAACCCCUUCCUUUAGAGCUGUGCCUGCAUGGCACGCUUCUUACCCUGGUACACCCCCUCCUUCUUAUAGUGGGUAUAGUGAUUUUUAACCCUAAAAUAAAACAAACAACCUCACCAUGAGCUUUAGGACCAGAAGAGGAAUGACAGGUGAAGCGAUGAAGCAAGCCAUCUUCACAGAGUAGAAAAGACAUCGGAGAGUUGGUAGAUAACUGUCUGAAAAGAUAGUUGUUCUCUUGAAACUAUUCUGUGAUACAGUCAUGUGGGAAGGGAUGUUUGGCUGUGAUUAUUUUUUCAGUUAAUGGGUAACUGAAUUUCUUUACCCCUCAAAAAACAAAAUCUUUGGGAAAAAAAGUGGGUAUGGUUAAUUUCAAAACAAGUUACAGCUGUAAACAAAAGCAGUUAGCAUUUGGGAUGGCAUGCCAAAACCUGUAUAAAUGUCCUUGUAUCACAUCACUUCUUAAGUAUUCCUUCAUUGGGCUUCAUCCUUUUAGCAGAGCUCUUGGUGGUGGGAUAGAGACUUAGGGAGGGUAGGGGGAGAGUGUGGAAAUAGGUGCUUCCUUUGGCUGGCAAAUGUCUACAUCUUGAAACAAACAGAUGUACCUAAUGAGCUUCUCCAUUCACUUUGUAAAAAUAAUUUGUAUGUGUACCAUCUUGGUCCUCUCCCCUCCCCUGUUUUGUUAAAAAUCAGGAUAGCACUCCCAGGCCACUUUGGUCUCAGUGUAAGAUCCCUAUUAACUAUCUGAAAGGAAAAUAGAGCCAAGACCUCUGGUCUCAAAUAUAUAGGAAUUGCCUUUCUUUAGUCUUCAGGACUAUUGUGUGAAAACAAGUAGGGGUCUAAUCUCCUAGAAGGUAGGGGCUUUUAUCCUUAAAGAGAAUAUGUCCCCAGAUUAUUAGCACUUUUAGAGGAGAAGCCAAGGUAUGUAGGGUGUGUGGCUGGCCCAUCAGUGGAGCACGAAGAGAGAAUGGGACACCAUUGUGGGAAGAGAAGAAAAGUUCCUCAGGGGCCUCCCACUGCUAAAGCUUUUUGUGAGAUGUUGAUCUGUGCUUCCUGGAUUUGACUUUUAAAGGAAUUAUUCUGGCAGCACAUGUAGUAUUCUUGGAUGAUCUUGCUGCUCUUAUUUCUCCUUUUGUGUGUGUGUGUGUGUGGCUAUGGGUUUUCAUUUGUAACUCCAUCUGCUUAGGAGAGUGGGCUCUCUAUAAGGGAACCUGCUGUAAACUUCAUUGCAGCAAGGAUGUAGAGAGAAAUAGGACUUAAUUCCACUAGGGGCUCUCAUCUCACACCUUAAGGAGAAGGAGAUUUCUAGAAAAACUGGGCCAGAUUUUCUUUGUUAUCCAUCAUUUUAACGUGGCAGGCUGUUCAGUUUUCUUACUCUUACCUAUGUUAUAUUUCUUCAUAACGUGUCCAAAAAGAAAAAAGACCCAAUCAGUGUCUCUUGACUUUGUUCUUUGAUCCCUCUCAGUUUCUUCUUGAUUUCAGCAUGUGUCGGAUUCCUAAUUUUGGGUAUGAGUUAGCAAAUGUAACCAUUAUGUUUGUGCCCUACCCAGGGGACUCCCCAGUUUCUGACUUGAAGUAGACUGAGAAGAAUCCACGAGGUGCUAUCUGGCCAGACUUAAGUAGAUUCUGUUUCCUUGGUUCUCCCUCUCUCUGAGGACCUCUUAUUUUGUUGUCCCCUCUUCUAGGUUAAUUCUCCUUUGAUUUGACUUUUUGAGAAGGAGGUUGGACAGUAGAUUAGCAAAGUUCCAAGUGCAAAAUUACAGUGUGUUAGAGUGUGGGGGGAAAAUUAGUCUUAUUUUUCCCUACAUGGGAUACAACACUGUGAAUUCAAUCUUCAACUUAAGGCCCUGCAGUUCUCCUAAAACAUAGUUGUUUGUUUUUCUUUAACAAGGUUUAAGCUAGUGUUAAUAAAUUAAAAAAAAUUGCUUGUCUGUCUACUUCAGCUUUGUUUUAUGCCCAUUUCAUAUUGUUGUCUGUGUUGUAAUUCAUAACUUUUGAUACCAUUUCUGAUGUGUAAAAUUGGUUGUCUUGUAAAUAUCUUAUAAAGAGUUCAAUUGUAAAUAAACUAUUGUGGCUGUU